GAGCCGCUGAAACCGCCCCUGCGCUGCAGUGGCAUGCCCUAUUCCCCCAGUUCUUGCUAUGUACAGGUUCCAAGGGAGAAGGUACCCUCUUGGCACCUAGAAACUAGAUGUUUCCACUAUAAAAUAGCACGGUCUUUUGGAAGAAACAAAGAAAAACAAUGAGCCCUUUCAUCCGGCGCUCCUGGCAAUCCUUACAGUCUCAACACACUCCCCUUUCUCUCUUACCACACGUGGAGAAUAAGGAUAUAAAUUUCCAGAUGGACACUAGAGGUUUUUUAACUUUGGAAGACCACACAUCAUUCCUCUAGUUCUUAAGCACCACAGGCGCUGUGUCCUCCAGGUGUUCCAGAUGAUGCUGGGUCUCAUCCCAGUGGCAGACCCUGCCUAAGACUGCGGUCCCCGGGCCCACCUGCUCCUGCGCAGGGCUGUCUCCACGUUGUGGCCUCGCUGCUUGCGGUAGAAGUCAAUGAAGGAGAAGGGCAGCGAGAUGUUGAGGGCCCCAGCACGGUGCGGCGCCGCCGUGCGCUUGCGGGCCUCAAAGGCGAUGGUGAGAUCUACCCACGCUGCUGGCCUUUGCCUUUUGAAGGUGGUGAUGAAGUCCUCGCCGAAGAUGCGGCCCAGCAGCUGCUCGAAGGCCAGGUCCACACCCACUGCGCCAUAUGGGCCACCUGGGUGGGGCAGAGGGCGGAGGGAGCGUUGACCGAGCCGGGGCGGGGGCAUGCUGGGUACCAAGGGUGCUGCCUGGCUACUAACCUGACGCCUUGUAGAGCUCUUUGAGGGUGCCAUGGGGUUGCUCCAGCUGGUGCACGGUCAGGUCCACCGUGCCUCCCCCACAGUCUGCCACCAUGUAGCGGUCUCCUGCACAGCAGCGAAUGUGGGCACACAUUCGUGGAUACUUGCCACCCAGGGCCCGCCUCGCACCCACAGCUCUGUGCCCCCUCCAGCCUCGCCCAGCCUCCAUCCCUGCCUCAGGCCCCCAGCCCUGCCUGCGGGGGACCUGAGGGGCUUCAGGUGCUUGAACCUCAAGCUACUGGGAAAGGGGUGCAGGGGAUGGGGGAAAGGCUCCAGGGGUUUUGCAGCUCCAUCUGAGCUCGGGGGGAAAAUCUCCAGGAGGGUGGAGAAUCCCCAGGAGGAGUGGGAGUUAGGGAUGUGCCGGUGAAUAAUGGUAUAAGAGUGCAGGUGGCUGUGAGGGGGCUGCCAGGCUAGUACAGGGGAGGGAGGCAGAUGGGGUGCGGCUGCUAGGAGCUGGGCCUGGCUUCAUGAAGGUGCCCUUCCCCUCAUCAGUGUACAUUGCCCCCCAGGAGCCAAGAUCUAUCCCAUCUUCCCGGUUCCCCCACCUGCUUGCAUCUCUGCCCAUAGCUCUCCGACGCCCGACUCCACCAGGAAGGUGCGGCUGUGGCGAGACCUGCGCAGCUGCUCGCGGGCUGGGGGUUGGGGGACCGCAGGUGCGAGAGGUGAGAAGGAGCCCCCCGGCCACUGUGCUCAACCCCCAUCCUCCCAUCAAGGCCUUCCAUGAGCACCUGGAGCAGCCAGGGUUCCUGAGACCUCUGCCCCCCUCCUGACUAGGAAAGGGCAAUGCUGAACCCAAAAGGGUACAGCGACACCCAACAGGGAAAUCUCAGACACUGCACCCAAGAGCUGGGGAGGUGUUUCUGGACACGGCCUUCCUGUAACCUGUGAGGGCCCAGGCCUGGGCAAAACCAGGGUUAGGAAGGUUUCUGGAGGAGCCUGGGGAGUGGAGUGGGGGGGGUGGGGGAGGUUGUUCAGGCCCUGAAGGAAUUAAAAUGGGACUCCUUUAGUUCAGAGUGGGGGCUGACAUCAACCUUUGUCCAUAUCAGAGUGCUGCCCCUUCCAAUCCCGCCCCCUGCAGGCUGUGUCUCCCCCACCCCACCCCCAAGAAUGAAAUUUCUCAGGGCUGGGCUGAGUCCUGCCCCCUCAGUCUGUGCUCCCCUGGAGCAAGGUGAAGUCACUGCCCUCAGAUUGGACUUCCCCAGGUCAAGGCUGUCCCCCCUCCCACCAAGACUGUGCUUCUCCAGGGCUGUGUCUCCCCCAUCAGACUGGGUUUCCCCCGGGCAGGCUGCUUCUCCCAAUGCCAGACUGGACUUCAUCAGACAUGGUUCUACUCCACAGAUGGAGGACACCCUGGGAUGGGGGGGGGCAGGAGGGGGGCUCCUUCUUCAUCCUGGACAUGGCUGUGCCUCCAGCCUCGGUGACCUUCUGACUCUCCAAGCCCAGCUCUGGAUGGUGCCCCCCCGGGGGCGGCUCACCCUGCCGGAAGCUGGAGUCAAUGGAGCGGCGCUCACCCAGGUUCAUGAUCCUAUUUCCCCUGCUCAGGAACCUAUGGUGGUUGUGCGGGAAUUCCCCCAAAACACUGACGCUGGCUCAAGUGGAUGUUCCUGGUGCCCUGCCCAGAGCAUUGGCUGCUACUGACUCACAGCUGCCCCCUUCCUUGAAGAACUGCCAUCCCGCAGAAUUGUCAGUUCCCUCCACUCCCCCAGCAAACAAAGACAGACUGAAAUGGACGUAGAAAAAGCCAGCCCCCUUGCCUCACCAUGGUGAACUCUGUGAGGCAAUUCUCCCUCCAGAGCUCCCCACAGGAUCAGGCUAAAGCUAGACCCCAGCUGAGCCCACAUCCUUGCUUAGCUCUUUCUCUUGCCCAGUCCUUUCUCCUUCAGUCUCCAUCACGGGCUCUGCUUCUAAGAUGCGGGCUAAGCUGGCCUGUGCAUUGCCCUCGCCCAUGUGCCCUCUGUUCCUGCACGCCUGCCCCUCGCCUGGUGGCAACACCCUCCAAAAUUCCCAGCAGAGAAGGCUGGGGUCCUUUACACUAUGACUCUGUGGUCCCAAAGGUGGUGGAGUGAAGGGGUUAUGGGGCCAUGCCUGGGCCCUCCUGGGCAACAUUCUCCGUCUGCCUGCAUGUCCUCACCAGGUAGGCAGCCUCCCGCAUGAACUGCUUGGCUGGCUGUUUCCAGAUGGCAGGCACCGUCAACACCCAGCGCACGGUGUCCUCCUCGGGCAGCAAUGGGCUCUGCUCCCUCAGCUCCUGGAGGGGGGAGUGAGGGGGACAGCUGGCUGAAGGGGGGUGGCUUCAGCCCUCUGCGGGAGUUGGAGGAACUAAUCAGUUCCCAGGAGGGGCUUUCCAGAUGAGUUGGAAGAAUCACUAGAACGGCCCCCCCCCCCCCACGCCCCUCACACCUGUAUGGCCAGGUGCCGGCUCUACCAGACAGGACGGCAGGGGACUGGAGAUGCCCUCCGGCAGUGGUUACUCCUCAGAGGGAUGGGGGUGGGAUGAGCACAUCAGGGCAUGGGCCGAAGGGAAAGGAAGGGAGUAGAAGGGCCUGGGGGACCCUCACCCAGGGCCGGCAGGGAUAGGGCACAGCACACCUGAAGGGCAUGCUCCUUGAAGAAGCGCAGGGCGUGGGCGAACACCUCCAGGGCUGGCAUUUUCUUUCCAUUUACUGCCUCUAGCUGGGUCUUCAGGGUGAGAUCCUGGCAGGGACAUGGAUAGGGCUGCUCUGCGGGGGGGCCUUAGCUCUGCCCCCAUUUCCAGACUAACCCCCUCCUAAUUUCACCCCAUUUCUUAGUGCUUCCCCUCCUCUUUAGCCUCACCCCCACUCUGACCCCAAUCUCACCCUCCCCUUAGCCCCGCCCCUCCUCUAACCCGCUCUCACCCCUUAGCUCCGCCCCAUUAGCGCCGCCUCUGCUCACCCCACCUCACUUCUGAGCCCCGCCCCCCCUUAGCCACACACACCCCCUCAGGCCCCUUAUCCCCCUUUAGCUCUGCCCACCCCCCACCACCACGUCCUUUCUCCUCCUGGUCCCAGCCAGAACGUGACCCACAGUGGUGCUGUGGAUCUUCAUCUUGAACUUCUCGAAGUAGAGCCAGUCUCGUGCCUCCUCGGGGUCCAGGUCAUGGUAGUAGUCACGGGCAGUGUAACCAAAACUGUGAAAGGCGCCUUCCGGGGUCAGCAGCAGGCAGGUCGGGGUCUUCUGAUGGGCCACGCCCGGGUCCCCGCCCUCCCAUUUCCUGUGGAGAUACCGGGCGGUCAGCUCUUGGGCAAGUUGUGUGACGCUGGGCAAGUCAUUUAGCCUAAGUCUUCCCAUCUGUAAAAUGGGAAUAAUAAUAGUACCUACCUCCUAGCGUUCUGUGGGGAGUAAAUGAGGGAACAUGGUUCCUGGUACCCAGUUAUAUCUCUAUAGAUGCUGGAUGGGGCCCUCCCCACCCAUGGGGCCACGGGUCCCAACCGAUAUCCUCAUCCCCUGCUCCCCGCCGUGAGGUAACCAUCUGACCCUGGCUCACUGCGCCCUGAGCAGCAGGCCGUGGCAGCAGGAAGCCAUCGUCCAUCUGCCCUGGUCUGGUCCUGUGAGGUGUCUCUCCGGGGACCCUAUCAGGGGCCUUUUCCUGGCCAGCAGGUUUGCCCUCCUCCAGGCCAUUUUCCACAGCCUUCAGGGAAGGCCAAGCUCCUUCAAGACUUUUGAUCACCAUUCCCACCUGACCCGCCUCACCACCCAGGAGACCACACCUCCACAGUCCCAAAAAACCUGAACGAGAUCCUAAACCUCCUUGUCUGCAGGUGCCGUCUGGACCUCCACCCAGAGCUCCCUGCCCAGUUUAUUGUCUUGGCAAAUCCUUCCUUUCCUACAUGGCCCGACCUUUUCAGGCCAAGCUUGUGGUAGCAGCCUUUUGGUGAGGGAAUGGGGAAUCCAGGCAGAUGGAACAGCAUGGGCAAAAGCUUAGAGGUGUGAAGGAGCUGGAGGAGAUGGUUGUGCAUCAGCUCAGUAUGCAGCAGGAGAAAAUACAGGGAUGCUAAAAUCAGAUAGUGAAGAGCAUCAAAUGCCAAAUUAGAAUUCUAUCUUGGUGUAUUGUAAUUAGGGGAGUGAAGAGGUGUAAUCAGAUUUGCCUUUAGAAAGGUCCCCAGUUAUAAGAGAUUGGAGGGGAAGGAGGAUACUGUAGCUAUCCAGGAGAG